rnacentral:lncRNA from 1 species
CGGGGGCCGAGGCGCGCUCCCACAAGGCGGUGUCUCGGGAGCGCGCCCUGCGCCGUGCCCACCGCGGGGCGCCGGAGAGCGGCGGCCGGGAGCCUCCGAGGCGCGCCAGGGCUUCGUCCCAAAGCCCGGGGCAACCCGCAUCGCCAAGCCAUGUAAACGGGUCCUUCCCUGUUCAGCAGGAGGUGUUUGUACUGUAACAAGGCAAAUUCUGAAAUCCGGUCUCGAAGAGGUUGUAGACAAGCUGAUUUGGGCCAUGAAGGACUCAUAAGAUUGUUCAAAAAUGCUAGAAUUUUCAACAGAAGCAGCAUGCCAUUUGGAAAAAUCUACAAGAAUGUUCACUUCAUCAGAAGGGAGAAGACUUCAUUCCCCUCAGCUGCACCUUGGCUACAAAAUAAGCCUGUUGAAAUGGCAAAUGUGGUAGGGGAAUGCUGGUGAAGCAACUGAUACUUGUGGACCCAGGUUGUACUCAGGUUGUUUUGGAGAGCACUGCAGGUUGUCUCAGAGGUGCGAUGCGGUGCGAUGUCCUUUGGUGCAUUCAGGACAUUACCACAGUUGUUGAGUCCUUACCAGGCACGUUCAAAGCUACUCUGGACAUGGAGGAAAUAGGAUGCUCCUCCAGUAGCCAUUUUAAUGUGGUGGAAAAGGAAAGAAAAGAGCUGCAUUCAGCUUUGCAUCCAGAAACUCUCCUUAAAAAGUAUACAAAUAAAGCGAAACCCUUCAUAUGUGAAAACAACUUGGGAUUCCUUCUGACCAAAUCAGCAUACUGCACUGGUGCAAAGGCUACUUUGGACUAGCUGGUGUUUGGAUUGCAUUGUCCUGGCAUGAACCUUCCUCAUGCUUUUCUCCCAGCUUGUCCUGCUCCCCGGUUGUUUAAUGUGGGUAUGAGAAGUCUCCUUUCGCUGUCAAGAGUAAGCAGCUCUGGGGUGGGCUGUGCCAGCCAUUGUCCCACUAAAUAAAAUCCUUUCCAGGGGGAUGACA